CAGAACCGAAGCUCACCACGCCGUGGACGUCCCAGGAGCCAUCGGGGUUCUGGCAAUUCAGGGGGCCGCCAGAGUCUCCCUGCAGCCAGCAGUGAUGCCGUCACCUCCUGCACAGACCAUCUUGUCCGUUGCCAGGACGCUCCACCAGUCGGGCUGUGAGCAGGUAUCGUGGCCGACCACCGGCAGGAGAGCCUGCUGCAGGAUGUCGGCCGCAGGACCGCUGGCUGUGGGGGAAGAAACAGGCUUAACUCGGGGUGGAGUCAAACAUACUUGAUGCAGUGAGCAGCAGUGAGGACCCAGUCAGAGGAGAUGAGGGUGCCUCCACAGACGUGCCUCCAGCGCCCACUGCUGUGUGACUGCAGGGAGAUCUGAGCAGAGAGAGGACGGUAGUGAAGAUGUUUAGGAGCAGACGUUACCUGCCAGGGCCAGCUGUGAGGCCUGACGUCCUCUCCUGCCACCACCCUGCUCAGCACAGGAGGGACGGCGGGAAGGCCACAUCCACAGGCUGGGACGAGAUUCUAAAACAGCAGUGGCGUUAGAGCGAGAGGUGGAGGAGCUUACGGAGCUGAUCCAGUCGAUGUAGGAGGUGACUCUGGUGAAGACGGUGGGCUUCUUGGGGAAGUUGCAGCUGAGCCCG